UCUUUGUUCUUUUUCGGGAAACGGCUGCUUUGAGCACUGCAACACCACUUUUAAGAAGCAGAAAAAUGAUGAGUGGAAUUAUGACAAGAGACACAGAAAGAUGGAGACAAAGAUCUAAUGAUCAUGAACAAUUAGGAAUCGAUCUGGAAAGAGACCGUAUAUAUCUAAUAAAAAUUAUCAAUUUUCACUAGAGAUGGCAAACUCGUCAUCGUUAU
ensembl:ncRNA F37D6.12 ncRNA